rfam:Marine metagenome HOTS_Contig16589, whole genome shotgun sequence.
AAAGUCAUCUGUGUCGAAGGAGUAGCGAACCACGACAGCCCCGAGUCAUGCGUCGUUGCGGGCAAUCGCAGGGGCGAAGCGUUGACAGGGGAGGUGUAAGUCCAGUUUUGAGCCGCGAAAAGCCAUGAACCACUCCAGGGGGCCGAGCGAAGGCCACAUCCGGCGCCGCGAUAUCGCGAGUGGCGUCGGGCCCCUGCGCGGUCGGAGACCC